AAUUAGCCACCGCUCAACUCAUGCAUCAGGCCUCACAUGCCCUCUCUGAUCAAUCUUCAACAGCCUGAUGAACUAGUCCUUUCUCACCAUCUCCAAUACACAGGUGGAGGGACUAAGGCUCAGGAAGCCCAACGCACUUGCCCUGCACUCACCACCAACCCACAGGCCCCUUUCAAAUGAGACAGGCUUGAUCACCCUGACCCAGGUGAAACGGUCCAUCUCUCCUGUCUUUCCACAAAACGUUCAUUCAUUCAACAAUUAAAUCCAUUCACUACUACAUGUGAGUCACUGUUCUGGAUGAGGAACUGAGACAGGCACAGAGAGGUUAGGAGACUUGCCCACGGCAAUGCAGCUCGUAAGUGCUGGUGCCAGGAUUCAAGUAUGGCUGAGUGCUUGUCUUCAACCAUCCUAGAUCACCCCCUGUGGUGAAGUUCUAUUACAGUUCUUUACAUGCACAGUUCUCAAAAUAACCGUAUGUGUGUGACACCCAGCCCCUGCCAGUCCCCCAUGGCCCCGUGGAGCCGAGAGGCGGUGCUGAGUCUCUAUCGGGCUCUGUUGCGCCAGGGCCGACAGCUUCGC
rnacentral:sRNA from 1 species